rnacentral:rRNA from 1 species
ACACGUGAAGAAUCUGCCUUCAACUCUGGGAUAACACCGGGAAACCGGUGCUAAUACCGGAUAUGAGCCUUGAUCGCAUGAUCGGGGCUGGAAAGUUUUUCGGUUGAAGAUGACUUCGCGGCCUAUCAGCUUGUUGGUGAGGUAAUGGCUCACCAAGGCGACGACGGGUAGCCGGCCUGAGAGGGCGACCGGCCACACUGGGACUGAGACACGGCCCAGACUCCUACGGGAGGCAGCAGUGGGGAAUAUUGGGCAAUGGACGAAAGUCUGACCCAGCGACGCCGCGUGCGGGAUGAAGGCCUUCGGGUUGUAAACCGCUUUCAGCAGGGAAGAAGCGAAAGUGACGGUACCUGCAGAAGAAGCACCGGCUAACUAUGUGCCAGCAGCCGCGGUAAUACAUAGGGUGCAAGCGUUGUCCGGAAUUAUUGGGCGUAAAGAGCUCGUAGGUGGUUUGUUACGUCGGAUGUGAAAAUCUAGGGCUCAACCCUAGACCUGCAUCCGAUACGGGCAAGCUUGAGUUUGGUAGGGGAGACUGGAAUUCCUGGUGUAGCGGUGGAAUGCGCAGAUAUCAGGAGGAACACCAAUGGCGAAGGCAGGUCUCUGGGCCAAUACUGACACUGAGGAGCGAAAGUGUGGGGAGCGAACAGGAUUAGAUACCCUGGUAGUCCACACAGUAAACG